CUGUGCUUGUCUCUCUGGCGAGUUCUCAGUCUCCGGCGAACAACACCGUCGACCACCACCGUGGUUCGACUUCCCUUCAGGACAGGAACAAACCCCAAACAAGUUUGGGGGCGGCAAAGCAUCGGAGGAGACGGAUCGACAACCACCCAUUUCUAGGGUUCCAACGGUUCGUGAUGGUUUUCAGACCACUUCUCGGCCGAAUUGGACUUCGGCCCAGGAUACCUGUUGAAUUGACAAUGGUUUCUGGCUACGCGGCUGUUCUGUUGGCCGGGGUUAUGUUCUCCACAUGAUGGCGUUGAAUGAUGUGGGUUGUGUUUAGCAGCUAGAUGGCCUAUUUGAUCCCACUUCUGAUGCUGAUGAUUUUUCUAAUGUUGAAAGUUUUUGUAAACGCUUGUUUCAAUUGAAGAAGUGUUGUGUGAUUGACAAGUCAAAAUUGGAUGGGAAUGGUUAUGGCAUUGCAUCAGAGGACAUAAGAGAUUUGGGGGACGUCUUUGUCGAAUUGCCCACGUUGAGCUUUCUUGAUUCACUUAUUUUGGAUGAGGAAUCAAUAAACUUUGAUAGGUGACUUCUGCACUCUCAUUUAUUUUCCUUUCAUUUGAUUAAGUUUAUGCUUAGUUACUAGGUUACAUUAUAGUAUUUGAUCAAUAAAUUGUGAUGGUUGCUGAUAUCAGAUUCUUCACUCAGUAUUGGCUUCUUAGUGAUUAUAAUUUUCUAUCUAAUUUUAAUUUUCAUUUGUCAUUACGAGUAUAAUUGGAAUUUUCACUUGUGCAUCUGUAAAUUUUCUCAAAUACGCAGAUUGGAGGACUACUACCAAGCUUGAGGAGAUCAUUACUCUAGGUCCUUUCACCUCAAGAUCUUUCUUAUACUCUGACGAUUGAGGUGUUGUUGCAUUCGAAAAAUAUAUUCAUGUGAUUUUGCUUUACGUUAUAAAUUGACUUUUUUCCAUUCGUCUCUGGAUUGCUAACUCUAAUUAGAAAAUAUAUUCACGAAUGAAAAAAGAGUCAAUUUAUAACGUAAAGCAAAAUCACAUGAAUAUAUUUCCCGAUGCAGCAAUACCUCAAUCAUCAGAGUAUAAGAAAGAUCGUGAGGUGAAAGGAUUUAGAGUAGUGAUCUCCUCAAGCCUGGUAGUAGUCCUUCGAUUUGUGUAUUUGAGAAAAUUUACAAGUGAAAAUUCCAAUUAUACUCGUAAUGGCAAACGAAAAUUAAAAUUAUAUACAAAAUUAUAAUCAGUAAGAAGCCAAUGUUGAGUAAAGAAUCUGAUAUCAGUAACUAGGCUAAAUCACAGUUUAAUGAUCAAAUACUAUAAUGUAACCUAGUAAGUAGGCGUAAACUUAAUCAAAUGAAUAUUCAAAACAAGAAGAAGAGACAAAUGAAGGGAAAACAAACAAGAGUGCAGAAGCCACCUAUCAAAGGUUAUUGAUUCCUUAUCCAAAAUAAGUGAAUCAAGAAUGCUCAACGUGGGCAACUCGACAAAGAAGUACUCCAAAUCUAUCUCUUAUGUCCUCUGAUGCAAUUUCGUGACCAUUCCCAUCCAAUUUUGACUUGUCAACCACACAACACUUCAAUUUAGACAAUUCUUUACAAAUACUUUCAACAUUAGAAAAUACAUGAGCAUCAUAAAUAGGCCAUCUAGCUGCUGAACAUAACCCACUUCAUUCAACACUAUCAUGUGGAGAACAUAACCUCGACCAAUACAACAACCAUGUAGCCAGAAACCAUUGGCAAUUCAGUAGGUAUCCUAUAUUCAAAAUAUAAGAUAAAACAGAGCUAACAAGGAACAACAUUAAUGCAAAAUAGUUAUGUUCAAAUACAAUAAUUUUACACCAAUAAUACAAUAAGUGUACUUACAGAUUUUGAACAACGAUACUACCAUAAUUAGUGCCCUCCUGAGAACAACGAUAGAUUAAAAAAAUAUUUGAUUUGUGCUUAAUUUUAUAUGACUCUUGUAAGCAGAAAUAAAGUCACAAGGUGGCUACCCCCAUAAGGAUUUGAGAUGGCCUUACAUUGCCACUUGUGAUCAUCCUGAGACAAAGCUUCCUCAGUUAAGGGAGUAGCUCCAGCAAUUAGAGAGAGAGAGCAUCAGCAGCUACAUUGUCAUUUCUAGUUUUAUAAUGUAUUUCAUAAUAGUCGCCCAUUUUUGCUGAAAUGGAGUGUGAGUAUUAAUGAGAAGAUACUUUAGGCUGUGAAGAUAUGCUCGAAUAAAGUGUCGGCCCUGUAAAUAGUUGUGCCACUUUUUAACUGCAUGUACAAUUGCAAUAAGUUAUCGCUCGUAUGUAGUUAAGGAUUGAUUUCAAGGUCCUAAUGUUUGGCUAUAGAAGGCAAUUGGUCGGCCUUGUUGCUGCAAAACUGCACCGAUUCCUUUCCCUGAGGCAUCACAUUCAAUCUCAAAAGGAAUUGAGAAAUUUGACAAGGCUAGAACCUGUGGGGAAGUCAUGACCUAUUUCAAGUGAGUGAAGGCAUCCUGAGCACUUGAAGACCAAAGAAAACCUUCUUUCUUGGUUAAUUGAUAAAGGGGUUGGCAUAUCUUGCCAUAGCCAGGAAUGAAUUUCUUGUAAUAACCCAUUAGUCCCGGAAAUCCUCUUAAGCUUUUCACAUUAGUUGAAGUCGGCCAAUCAGCAAUGGCCUGCAAUUUAGAAGGGUUUGUAGCUACCCCCUCUCGAGAAACAAUGUGACCAAGGUACUUGACUUUACUCUGA